UAUGCUUCCCCAACCUACGAUACCGAGGCUCCAGCUCGUUACACCACCAAAGCGGUCGAACACAGGAGCGCCCAAAUAUGUUAGAAAUCAGUCGAGUGAGCAUCUCCGCCACCCAACACGGCAGCUCUAAAGUUUCGAAUCAACUUCGUUUCAAACAGUGGUACGGCAAAGAGCGAAGUCUCUUUUUCGAAGAAGACGAAAUCUAUUGCAAUAUCUUUAAGAUAGCGGCGGCGUUGCAGUCGUACGUUGACACCGCGUCGUUAAACUUGACAUUGUUGGUCGCAAAGCCGAACUUCAUGAUGGCCGUACCAUCACCUACGACAAGCCUUGUUGCCACAGGUGGUAAACGAAAAUCUUUACCAAUCCUUGAGCGGUGUCCCUAAAGAUGUCCACGAGCAAGUGACGCUGUUCCGCAACAUUGAUGGCCCAGUCCUCCCUAACUAUUUGAGCCAAUGGACUUCCGAGAACGUGGAAGCGGCAGACGUUAAUGUUAUGCCCUAAGCUAAUGUAGAGGGUUAAAACUGACCGUAUUGUCGCUGCUGCCGGUAUGAACGCAAACACGGAUUUGGCUAUCGCUUCCGAUUUCGAAAUAGAUUCCAAUUUUGGUGGUUAUCGAGUCAAUGCUGAGCUUGAAGCACGAUCGAUCGUCCAGUUGGAUGGAGAUGCUGCGUUUUUUUUGUGAUAGCAAAUUGGGUCAUUAUCGUAUGAAACAUCAGUGCAUUCUUCGUCGUAUUAUUAGUACGCAAUCGGUUAACUACAGUGUCGUGCUUUUGUACCGUUGAUGACUGGGUUGACCUGGUGUAAUCAUGUCUCCUGGGUAUGGUGGAUACCGAACCGCAACGCCGCCGCCUUACUACACAAUAACAGCUACGCAAUUACGAGUUACUAGACCACCAAGGCACCAGGGUAUUACACCACACCUUGUGAUGCUUCGAGCUACUACACCAAAGCCCUGAAGUUCAACUCUGCCCCGAGUUACAUAAACGAAGAGGUGGAGUACUACACCAUGGUUUCCAAGUACUACACCACCCAGGUAUUGGAUUGCUACAGGACUACGUAUGCUGCUCCAGCCUACUCUACCGAGGCUUCCAAGUACUACUCUGUGCCCAGCUACUACACCGAAGCUCCAGCUUAUUACUUCACCAAUGCUUUUGAGUACUACACCUAAUCGCACAAAUACUACUCUGCCCCGAGCUACGCAACUACAACGAAGGCGGACCAGUAUUACGCAGCAAAUUCUUACCACACAGCGGGUGCUCCUUCGUACUACGUUGCACCGAAAAACUAUGACUCAAUUUUACUACUCCUAGCUACUACACCGAAAAGGUCGAAUAUUACGCAACCGCGUAUGCUGCCACAGUUUACUACACCGAGAAACCAAAGUAUUACUCUGCUCCGACCAAUACCAAACAGAGACUCCGGCUUAUUACACCACCAAGGCCACCGAGUGUUACACUACAACUAACGCUGCCCCCAGCUACUACACUGAAGUUCCAAAGUAUAACUCUGUCCCAAGUUACCAAACCACUAAGACACCUGAAUGCUACACUACGACCUAAAAUUGCAAUUUUAUUUAAUUGUGUUUAGGAUAUGUCAGUCAUAUGUAGUUAUUUGUCACUGGUAUUAUUGUUCUUCAUUGAGAAAAUAAAAAUUUAAAUUCGGGUAAACAUCUUGUACACAAAGCCUUUUAACCUUGCCAUGUUUCCUAUACGAUUUGUAGAUGAAAACUUAAACGUAGGAAAAGUUAAAAGGAAUUUUAUUGACCCACCUCCACCCACAAUUCCACCACACAUUUUACAGACACAUAUAAACAUACAUCCAUACACUUAAGUUAACCCGUUGGCUGCCACGCCAUACAACCCGUAGGUUGUUUUCUACUUUCAACGCGUCAU